rnacentral:misc_RNA from 1 species
GAAUUUCCUUCAAGUAUGGUUGUAUAAAAGGCGUAUAUGGAACGCCUUUUUUCUUCGUAAAUGGUUUUCCUCUGGCUGAUGAUGGCUCAACAUUGGACUACAAUAAAUGGAGAAAAAUCAUUCAUCCAUUGUUGAAGAACUAACGAUUUUGUUAUAAGACUGCGUACAAUAAACCCUUGUGGUUCGAUUGGACCUGCAUAUAGCGGGAGCUUAGUAUACGGAGAAGUCCAGUAGUUGUAUUUGUACUCUCAGUCACCUGAUGAUUGAGCUAGAGAGACAAAC